rnacentral:rRNA from 1 species
AGAGUUUGAUCCUGGCUCAGAUUGAACGCUGGCGGCAGGCCUAACACAUGCAAGUCGAGCGGUAGCACAGAGAGCUUGCUCUCGGGUGACGAGCGGCGGACGGGUGAGUAAUGUCUGGGAAACUGCCUGAUGGAGGGGGAUAACUACUGGAAACGGUAGCUAAUACCGCAUAACGUCGCAAGACCAAAGAGGGGGACCUUCGGGCCUCUUGCCAUCAGAUGUGCCCAGAUGGGAUUAGCUAGUAGGUGGGGUAACGGCUCACCUAGGCGACGAUCCCUAGCUGGUCUGAGAGGAUGACCAGCCACACUGGAACUGAGACACGGUCCAGACUCCUACGGGAGGCAGCAGUGGGGAAUAUUGCACAAUGGGCGCAAGCCUGAUGCAGCCAUGCCGCGUGUAUGAAGAAGGCCUUCGGGUUGUAAAGUACUUUCAGCGGGGAGGAAGGCGAUAAGGUUA